rnacentral:rRNA from 1 species
UGAGUACGAGAUGCUACGGCAUCGAAGCAGUCUAUGUCAUACUUCCAAGAAAAGCUUGCAAUGUCAUAAACAAAUAAUGCCUGUACCAUAACCGACACAGGUGGGUAGGUAGAGUAUACUAAGGGGCGCGAGAUAACUCUCUCUAAGGAACUCGGCAAAAUGACUCCGUAACUUCGGGAGAAGGAGUGCCUUAUUUUUAUAAGGUUGCAAUAACAAGAUCCAAGCAACUGUUUACCAAAAACACAGGUCUCCGCUAAGUCGUAAGACGAUGUAUGGGGGCUGACGCCUGCCCAGUGCCAGAAGGUUAAAGAAGUUGGUUAGCAUUAGCGAAGCUGAUAACUGAAGCCCUGGUGAACGGCGGCCGUAACAAUAACGGUCCUAAGGUAGCGAAAUUCCUUGUCGGGUAAGUUCCGACCCGCACGAAAGGCGUAAUGAUUUGGAUACUGUCUCGGAGAGGGGCUCGGUGAAAUAGACUUGUCUGUGAAGAUGCGGACUACCUGCACCUGGACAGAAAGACCCUAUGAAGCUUUACUGUAACUUGAGAUUGAAAUUGGACUUUAUCUGCGCAGUAUAGGUGGGAGACGUUGAAAAUAUUCUUGCGGGAAUAUUGGAGUCAUCAGUGAGAUACCACUCUUAUAAUGUUAGAUUUCUAACUUUGUAUCAUUAUCUGGUCAAAGAACAGUUUCAGGCGGGCAGUUUGACUGGGGCGGUCGCCUCCCAAACGGUAACGGAGGCGCACAAAGGUUUCCUCUGAACGUGUAGAAAUCGUAUCUAGAGUGUAAAGGCAUAAGGAAGCUUGACUGUGAGACCUACAAGUCGAGCAGGGACGAAAGUCGGUCUUAGUGAUCUGACGGUGCUGAGUGGAAAGGCCGUCACUCAACGGAUAAAAGUUACUCUAGGGACAACAGGCUGAUCUCCCCCAAGAGUUCACAUCGACGGGGAGGUUUGGCACCUCGAUGUCGGCUCAUCGCAUCCUGGGGCGGUAGUACGUCCCAAGGGUUGGGCUGUUCGCCCAUGAAAGCGGUACGCGAGCUGGGUUCAGAACGUCGUGAGACAGUUCGGUCCAUAUCCGGUGUAGGCGUUAGAAUAUUGAGAGGAGCCUUCUCUAGUACGAGAGGACCGAGAAGGACAUACCUCUGGUGUACCAGUUAUCGUGCCAACGGUAAACGCUGGGUAGCCAUGUAUGGAGAGGAUAACCGCUGAAAGCAUCUAAGUGGGAAGCCCACCUCAAGAUAAGUAUUCCC